rnacentral:miRNA from 1 species
UCACAAUUCCCACGGACUCCAGAUA